GCGGAGGGUGAAGCCGCCAGGCGGCAAUCGCCUGAGAAGCGAGAGUUCGGCCUAACCAGCCGGAUGGGGUUCGAGUCCCCCUUCCUCCGCC
rnacentral:tRNA from 1 species